AAUCAACGCUGGCGGCGUGCCUAACACAUGCAAGUCGCGCGCGAAAGGGGGGCAACCCCCGAGUAAAGCGGCGAACGGGUGAGUAACACGUGGGUAAUCUACCUUCGAGUGGGGAACAACAUCGGGAAACUGGUGCUAAAUUCCGCAUGACAUCGUCGGGGCUUCGGUUCCGACGCUCAAAGCUGGGGAUCGUAAGACCUAGCGCUUGAAGAUGAGCCCGCGUCCGAUUAGCUAGUUGGCGGGGAAUAGCCCACCAAGGCUCCGAUCGGUAGCCGGCCUGAGAGGGCGGACGGCACACUGGACUGAGACACGGUCCAGACUCCUACGGGAGGCAGCAGUGGGGAAUUUUUCGCAAU
rnacentral:rRNA from 1 species